UACGGAGGGAGCUAGCGUUGUUCGGAAUUACUGGGCGUAAAGCGCACGUAGGCGGCUUUGUAAGUUAGAGGUGAAAGCCUGGAGCUCAACUCCAGAAUAGCCUUUAAGACUGCAUCGCUUGAAUCCAGGAGAGGUGAGUGGAAUUCCGAGUGUAGAGGUGAAAUUCGUAGAUAUUCGCAAGAACACCAGUGGCGAAGGCGGCUCACUGGCCCGGUACUGACGCUGAGGAGCGAAAGCGUGGGGAGCGAACAGG
rnacentral:rRNA from 1 species